UCCAAAGAGUUCUCGAAGCGUAUGCUACAAAGCUCUUUGCUAGACUCCCAAAGGGGGGAAUUGGAAUUGUUGCUGCAGCCACAAGCGUGGAUGGACAAACAAAGUUAUGUCAGUGGCAUUUGUUGGACGCUCCCUGUUUUAAACAUUUGUUGAUCUUAUGGGGGUUUCAUUAUCUAAUGCAUUACUUUGCAUGGAUGCUAAUGACCCUCCAAAAACCUUGGCUACCAUGCAAUUAAUUGGUUCCAUAUUUCAAAUGUUAGUUCCACAAUUUCACCAGCUCUUGAGGCUGCAAUUGAAUAUCAACUUAAGAUAUUGUCAGUUUGCAUCACAUAUGGAGGUCCUGCACUCCUUCGCUACAAGGAUCAAUUCAAAGAAGCUGUCUUCUUUGCUUUUGACUCACCAUCUUGGAAGGUCUUUUUAUUUCCAUUGGUUCCUAAUCUAUUUGAUUGUUACUUCCAAUGAUAGGUCAAUGAAGUUGCUGAUCAUCUUAUCCAAUGGAUCAGUAUAAGUGUGUUCUUAGUCACCCUGAUGAUGUUGCCCUUGAAGAAUGGAUUAGCACAAAAGGUUUUUCCACUUAGGUAAGCUUUAUCCCAAAAUGGCAUAUUCCAUGAGAUGAAGAAACUCAUUUUGCAAAUGAGCUUAUAGACAUUCACUUCCAGUUAGCUUUGGAUGAUCUGUUGAAAAUAUGCAAGUGUAAAAUCCAUGCAGACCAAAGUAUGAGAAAUACCCAUGUCUCAAGUAGUUUAUAAUUUCUUGCUGAUAAAAAAAGUUGUUUAUAUUUUACGUCGUCAUCCUUA